rnacentral:rRNA from 1 species
UACAGAGGUCUCAAGCGUUGUCCGGAUUCAUUGGGCGUAAAGGGUGCGUAGGCGGCGCGGUAAGUCGGGUGUGAAAUCUCGGAGCUUAACUCCGAAACUGCAUUCGAUACUGCCGUGCUUGAGGACUGGAGAGGAGACUGGAAUUUACGGCGUAGCGGUGAAAUGCGUAGAUAUCGUAAGGAAGACCAGUGGCGAAGGCGGGUCUCUGGACAGUUCCUGACGCUGAGGCACGAAGGCCAGGGGAGCAAACGGG